GGGUGCGAUCAUACCAGCACUAAUGCACCGGAUCCCAUCAGAACUCCGCAGUUAAGCGUGCUUGGGCGAGAGUAGUACUAGAAUGGGUGACCUCCUGGGAAGUCCUCGUGUUGCACCUC
rnacentral:rRNA from 1 species